rnacentral:misc_RNA from 1 species
GAUGAAGAACGUAGCGAAAUGCGAUAAGUAAUGUGAAUUGCAGAAUUCAGUGAAUCAUCGAAUCUUUGAACGCACAUUGCGGCCAUAGGUAUUCCUUUGGCCAUGCCUGUUCGAGCGUCAUUUACACCCUCAAGCCUAGCUUGGUGUUGGGCGUCUGUCCCGCCGUUCUCGCGCGCGGACUCGCCUCAAAGUCAUUGGCGGCGGUCGUGCCGGCCCCCUCGCGCAGCACAUUUGCGCUUCUCGGAGGCCCGGCGGAUCCGCGCUCCAGCAAGACCUUUCACGACUUGACCUCGGAUCAGGUAGGGAUACCCGCUGAACUUAAGCAUAUCAAUAAGCGGAGGA